rnacentral:rRNA from 1 species
GACAGAGGCCUCGAGCGUUAUCCGGAAUCACUGGGCUUAAAGCGUGUGUAGGCGGCUCGUUAAGUGCCUUGUGAAAUCCCACGGCUCAACCGUGGAAGAGCCUGUGAUACUGCUGAUCUUGAGAGAGGUAGGGGCGUGCGGAACUUCCGGUGGAGCGGUGAAAUGCGUAGAUAUCGGAAGGAACACCGGUGGCGAAAGCGGCGCGCUGGACCUCUUCUGACGCUGAGGCGCGAAAGCCAGGGGAGCAAACGGG